rnacentral:rRNA from 1 species
UAAGACAGAGGUGGCGAGCGUUGUUCGGAAUCACUGGGCUUAAAGGGCGCGUAGGUGGCAGUGCAAGUCUGGGGUGGAAUCCCAGGGCUUAACCCUGGAACUGCCUUGGAAACUGCAUUGCUUGAGUCAGUGAGGGGAGGGUAGAAUUCCUGGUGUAGCGGUGAAAUGCGUAGAUAUCAGGAGGAAGGCCUGUGGCGAAGGCGGCCCUCUGGCGCUGGACUGACACUGAGGCGCGAAAGCGUGGGUAGCAAACAGGAUUAGAUACCCUGGUAGUCCACGCCCUAAACGGUGGGUACUAGGUGUAGGGCUCGUAAGGGUUCUGUGCCGAAGGGAAACCAUUAAGUACCCCGCCUGGGGAGUACGGCCGCAAGGUUGAAACUCAAAUGAAUUGACGG